rnacentral:rRNA from 1 species
UACGGAGGGAGCUAGCGUUGUUCGGAAUUACUGGGCGUAAAGCGCACGUAGGCGGCUUUUUAAGUCAGGGGUGGAAUCCCGGGGCUCAACCCCGGAACUGCCCUUGAAACUGGAGAGCUAGAAUCUUGGAGAGGCGAGUGGAAUUCCGAGUGUAGAGGUGAAAUUCGUAGAUAUUCGGAAGAAACACCAGUGGCGAAGGCGACUCGCUGGACAAGUAUUGACGCUGAGGUGCGAAAGCGUGGGGAGCAAACAGG